CGUGUCGUGAGAUGUUGGGUUAAGUCCCGCAACGAGCGCAACCCUUGUCCAUUGUUGCCAGCUCUUAAUGUAAAUUGAGAGGGAACUCGAUGGAGACCGCCAGCGACAAGCUGGAGGAAGGUGGGGACGACGUCAAGUCAUCAUGGCCUUUAUGGGUAGGGCCUCACACGUCAUACAAUGGCGCGUCCAGAGGGUUGCCAACCCGCGAGGGGGAGCCAAUCCCAGAAAGCGCGUCGUAGUCCGGAUUGGAGUCUGCAACUCGACUCCAUGAAGUCAGAAUCGCUACUAAUCGCGGAUCAGCAUGCCGCGGUGAAUACGUUCCCGGGUCUU
rnacentral:rRNA from 1 species